CGAAAUAUGUGCCAUCAACAUGGUCAGUUUUUAUUUGUUAGUUUUUAUCCUCGAGGGCUCACCUGCUAUAAAUUGUAACUGCAAUACGUACCAUAAUGUAACUUCUAAAUAAACUUGAUUAAGAAAUUUCGGUAACUAGUAGAAUGUACAGUUUAAUUUCUUCUGGAAGUAAUGCUCAUCUCGUCUAUCCGGUUUAUGGUUCAAAAUAGCACCAUCGGUCAUAGGCGAUCAUAAUAUAUUCACUAUGGAAAUAAAAACGCUCUAUAUUGAAAACACUGUCAGCUGCCAUGCACAGUGUACAAUGUACAUCAGGUAGCUCUUGCGAAUACGGUGCAAAACCUUAUCUUCUUGCAACCAAAAAUAUUUUCUCUAUUCUUACAGCAGCGCACAGGCGCACACCAGCGCAUAGCGCUGCUUGUCGCCGUCUUGACGCUACGUUGUGGGUUGUGCGGCUUGGUGCAAGGAGAGCUUGCACCACUGCCCUUGCCAUCACUUCGGUAUUUGCCGUCAGGACACCACGAGCCGGGUUGUGCGGCUUGGUGCAGGGAGAGCUUGCACCACUGCCCUUGCCAUCACUCUGGUUGUUGCCGUCAGGACACCACGAGCCGGAAUACUACUGACAACGGCGCCAGAAUCGAACCGAAGACCUCACUGCGCGUCUUGAACGCUGACCUUUUCUCACCUCGGGUUGCCUCACUGUUUCGUAGCUGGUGUUCUCUCCAACCCACGAAAAAGGGCAGUUGUCAGCGGGCAAUUGUUCCACGCAUAGCAGGGGUAACAAGGUUUGAUUCAAGAUUGAACUUACGGUGCAUAUUGUUUUACGACAACCGGCCAACAUGGCAGCAGAGUGCGGACAAGAGAUGAAGAAUGAGCGCCUGCGUUCAGUGGUUGCCCACACAAAACCAAC
rnacentral:lncRNA from 1 species